rnacentral:rRNA from 1 species
AUACGGAGGAUGCGAGCGUUAUCCGGAUUUAUUGGGUUUAAAGGGUGCGUAGGCUGUGCGUUAAGUCAGGGGUGAAAUGCCGUCGCUCAACGACGGAGCUGCCCUUGAUACUGGCGUGCUGGAGUACGGAUGCCGUUGGAGGAAUGAGUGGUGUAGCGGUGAAAUGCUUAGAUAUCACUCAGAACACCGAUUGCGAAGGCAUCUGACGAAUCCGUCACUGACGCUGAGGCACGAAAGCGUGGGGAUAGAACAGGAUUAGAUACCCUGGUAUUCCACGCCGUAAACGAUGAUGACUAACCGUCGGCGAUAGACAGCCGGUGGCCAAGCGAAAGCGAUAAGUCAUCCACCUGGGGAGUACGUCGGCAGCGAUGAAACUCAAAUGAAUUGACGGGG